rnacentral:tRNA from 1 species
UGGCUAUCUUGGCCUGGCCCAUCCGCGCCGGGUCGAUGCCGGCGGCGAGAUCGUCGAGUGGAUCGUUCAUGGUUCGAUUCCUGAGUCAGUCGG